rfam:Chrysochromulina sp. CCMP291 CAF.Contig7179, whole genome shotgun sequence.
GGUCCGGUGGCCGAGUUGGUCUAAGGCGACGGAUUAAGGCUCCGUUCUCGCAAGGGGCGCGGGUUCAAAUCCCGUCCGGGCUA